rnacentral:rRNA from 1 species
CCCUUAGAUGUUCUGGGCUGCACGCGCGCUACACUGAAGCGUUCAACGAGUAUUUCACCUUGCCCGGGAGGGUUGGGUAAUCUUUUUAAAACGCUUCGUGAUGGGGAUAGAUUAUUGCAAUUAUUAAUCUUCAACGAGGAAUUCCUAGUAAGCGCGAGUCAUCAGCUCGUGCUGAUUACGUCCCUGCCCUUUGUACACACCGCCCGUCGCUCCUGCCGAUUGAGUGAUCCGGUGAAUAAUUCGGACUGCAGCAGUGCUUGGUCCUCCGGGCUUUGCAGCGGAAAGUUUAGUGAACCUUAUCACUUAGAGGAAGGAGAAGUCGUAACA